GCGGGGGUAGCCAAGCGGUCAAAGGCGCAGGACUUAGGAUCCUGUCCCUUAGGGGUUCGCAAGUUCGAAUCUUGUCCCCCGCA
rnacentral:tRNA from 2 species